ACCUGGUUGGCUCAGCUGGUAGAGCGUGUGACUUUUGAUCUUGGGGUUAUAGGUUCAAACCCUACAUUGGGUG